AGGCAGUCCAAGAUGGUCAGCCGGUCCCUUCCAGAGGCAAAGGCUCCUAAUGUUGACUACUCCAAGAGAGAGUUUUGGGAUUGGCUCAGCCAGCAACCAAGCUCUCCUUGGAUGGAAGAAUACCAGGAGGCACCCUCCCUGCUGGUAGGUUUUUCAUGGACAGCAUGAGAUUAUGUGUUUCUCUCCUGCGGAACGAAU
rnacentral:lncRNA from 11 species